AAGCCACGUGGUGCUGCUGGUGCAAAACACUGAAAACAGAAGAGUAUGAACCAGUUAAGAGAUAUAAUCAUUCCACAGCAAGAAUAGAUGACUGGAAUUGUCAGUUGUUGGAGCAUAAAGUAGUCUCUGGGGGCGGGGCAAUACUAAGCAAGUCGUGACCAUCCGCUGGAUAUUGAGGACUAUUAUGCAAUGCCAAACAAAGGAGAGGUGGACGUCAACACUAGGUUGGGUGUCAAGACUAGGUUGUUGCAUUUUAUUGAUUAUUGGGAGGAGAUUGACUUUUUUGGGAAAGUUUGUUAUUUUAGAGAGCUGUUUCUGAUUACAAUUGGAUUUUUAUAAAUAUUUUUAAAGCUGCUCCAAAAGUUGGCCAAUGUGUACAGG